rnacentral:rRNA from 1 species
AGAGUUUGAUCCUGGCUCAGGAUGAACGCUAGCGGCAGGCUUAAUACAUGCAAGUCGAGGGGCAGCAGGGGUGUAGCAAUACACUCGCUGGCGACCGGCAAACGGGUGCGGAACACGUACGCAACUUACCCAAAACUGGGGAAUAGCCCGGGGAAACCCGGAUUAAUACCUCGUAACAUUAUAGAGUGGCAUCACUUUAUGAUUAUAGCUCAGGCGGUUUUGGAUGGGCGUGCGGCUGAUUAGGUAGUUGGCGGGGUAACGGCCCACCAAGCCUGCGAUCAGUAACUGGUGUGAGAGCACGACCAGUCACACGGGCACUGAGACACGGGCCCGACUCCUACGGGAGGCAGCAGUAAGGAAUAUUGGUCAAUGGACGCAAGUCUGAACCAGCCAUGCCGCGUGGAGGAUGAAGGCCCUCUGGGUUGUAAACUUCUUUUAUAUGGGACGAAACCCCCGAAUUCUUUCGGGACUGACGGUACCAUAGGAAUAAGCACCGGCUAACUCCGUGCCAGCAGCCGCGGUAAUACGGAGGGUGCAAGCGUUAUCCGGAUUCACUGGGUUUAAAGGGUGCGUAGGAGGGCAGGUAAGUCAGUGGUGAAAUCCCCGAGCUUAACUUGGGAACUGCCGUUGAUACUAUCUGUCUUGAAUAUUGUGGAGGUGAGCGGAAUAUGUCAUGUAGCGGUGAAAUGCUUAGAUAUGACAUAGAACACCAAUUGCGAAGGCAGCUCGCUACACAAAUAUUGACUCUGAGGCACGAAAGCGUGGGGAUCAAACAGGAUUAGAUACCCUAGUAGUCC